rnacentral:rRNA from 1 species
CCUACGGGUGGCUGCAGUGAGGAAUAUUGGUCAAUGGGCGCUAGUCUGAACCAGCCAAGUAGCGUGAAGGAUGACUGCCCUAUGGGUUGUAAACUUCUUUUAUAUGGGAAUAAAGUGCAGUAUGUAUACUGCUUUGCAUGUACCUUAUGAAUAAGGAUCGGCUAACUCCGUGCCAGCAGCCGCGGUAAUACGGAGGAUCCGAGCGUUAUCCGGAUUUAGUGGGUUUAAAGGGAGCGUAGGUGGAUUGUUAAGUCAGUUGUGAAAGUUUGCGGCUCAACCGUAAAAUUGCAGUUGAAACUGGCAGUCUUGAGUACAGUAGAGGUGGGCGGAAUUCGUGGUGUAGCGGUGAAAUGCUUAGAUAUCACGAAGAACUCCGAUUGCGAAGGCAGUUCACUGGACUGCAACUGACACUGAGGCUCGAAAGUGUGGGUAUCAAACAGGAUUAGAUACCCCUGUAGUC